UACGUAGGGGGCUAGCGUUGUCCGGAAUCAUUGGGCGUAAAGCGCGUGUAGGCGGCCCGGUAAGUCCGCUGUGAAAGUCGGGGGCUCAACCCUCGAAAGCCGGUGGAUACUGUCGGGCUCGAGUACGGAAGAGGCGAGUGGAAUUCCUGGUGUAGCGGUGAAAUGCGCAGAUAUCAGGAGGAACACCAGUUGCGAAGGCAGCUCGCUGGGACGUUACUGACGCCGAGACGCGAAAGCGUGGGGAGCAAACAGG
rnacentral:rRNA from 1 species